rnacentral:rRNA from 1 species
GAUGAACGCUAGCGGCAGGCCUAAUACAUGCAAGUCGAACGGUGUCUUCGGACAUAGUGGCGCACGGGUGCGUAACACGUAUGCAACCUACCUUACAUUGGGGGAUAGCCUUUCGAAAGGGAGAUUAAUACCGCAUAAGACAGUAGCUGGGCAUCCAGCAGCUGUUAAAGAUUUAUCGAUGUAAGCUGGGCAUGCGUCCAAUUAGCUAGUUGGUGAGGUAACGGCUCACCAAGGCAAUGAUUGGUAGGGGAACUGAGAGGUCAAUCCCCCACACUGACACUGAGAUACGGGCCAGACUCCUCCGGGAGGCAGCAGUAGGGAAUAUUGGGCCAUGGACGCAAGUCUGACCCAGCCAUGCCGCGUGCAGGAUGAAGGCGUUAUGCGUUGUAAACUGCUUUUAUACAGGAAGAAACGACUCUUGCGAGAGGCAUUGACGGUACUGUAUGAAUAAGCACCGGCUAACUCCGUGCCAGCAGCCGCCGUAAAAC